rnacentral:rRNA from 1 species
GCAAGUCGAACGCUUUGUCUUUAACUGAUCUGACGAGCUUGCUCUGAUUUGAUUUUAUCUGACAAAGAGUGGCGAACGGGUGAGUAACACGUGGGUAACCUACCUCUUAGCAGGGGAUAACAUUUGGAAACAAGUGCUAAUACCGUAUAAUACCAACAACCGCAUGGUUGUUGGUUGAAAGAUGGUUCUGCUAUCACUAAGAGAUGGACCCGCGGUGCAUUAGCUAGUUGGUAAGGUAACGGCUUACCAAGGCAAUGAUGCAUAGCCGAGUUGAGAGACUGAUCGGCCACAAUGGGACUGAGACACGGCCCAUACUCCUACGGGAGGCAGCAGUAGGGAAUCUUCCACAAUGGGCGCAAGCCUGAUGGAGCAACGCCGCGUGUGUGAUGAAGGGUUUCGGCUCGUAAAACACUGUUAUAAGAGAAGAACGGCACUGAGAGUAACUGUUCAGUGUGUGACGGUAUCUUACCAGAAAGGAACGGCUAAAUACGUGCCAGCAGCCGCGGUAAUACGUAUGUUCCAAGCGUUAUCCGGAUUUAUUGGGCGUAAAGCGAGCGCAGACGGUUAUUUAAGUCUGAAGUGAAAGCCCUCAGCUCAACUGAGGAAUGGCUUUGGAAACUGGAUGACUUGAGUG